UGGGGUGUAGCCAAGCGGUAAGGCAACUGGCUGUUAACCAGUUUAUGCGGAGGUUCGAAUCCUUCCACCCCAG
rnacentral:tRNA from 1 species